AGGCUCAGUAAACCAGUCAUGAUUCACUCGAGUAUACGUGACUGUCUUUGGAUAACUGUGGUAAUCCUAGAGCUAAUACAUGCACUCAAGUCCCGACCAGUUUAACUGGGAAGGACGCUUUUAUUAGAUCAAGACCAAUCGCCCGGCUCGUCCGGGCGUUGCCUUGGUGACUCUAGGUAACACAUCAGAUCGCACGGUCCUAGCACCGGCGACUUAUCCUUCAAAUGCCUGACUUAUCAACUGUCGAUGGUAGACUCUAUGUCUACCAUGGUUGUAACGGGUAACGGGGAAUCAGGGUUCGAUUCCGGAGAGGGAGCCUGAGAAACGGCUACCACAUCCAAGGAAGGCAGCAGGCACGCAAAUUACCCACUCCCGGCACGGGGAGGUAGUGACAAAAAAUAACGAUACGGGACUCUUAUGAGGCCCCGUAAUCGGAAUGAGUACACUUUAAAUCCUUUAACAAGGAUCCAUUGAAGGGCAAGUCUGGUGCCAGCAGCCGCGGUAAUUCCAGCUUCAAUAGCGUAUAUUAAAGUUGUUGCGGUUAAAAAGCUCGUAGUUGGUUCUGCGUGCCACGCUGUCGGUUCGCCGCCUGCCGGUGUAACUGGCAUGCCGCGGCAUGUCCUGUCGGUGGUGUUCGGGAGCCUCGUCUAGGCACCGGCCCUCGCCCAAAAGCUUGGUGCUCGGAGGCCGGGGGUAUACCCGUUCGCCUACUCUAUCCUACCUAGGUGCUCUUUACCGAGUGUCGAGGUAGGCCGACACGUUUACUUUGAACAAAUUAGAGUGCUCAAAGCAGGCUGAAAUCUCCGCCUGAAUAGUGGUGCAUGGAAUAAUAAAACAGGACCUUGGUUCUAUUUUGUUGGUUCUUAGGAACACAAGGUAAUGAUCAAUACGGACAGGCGGGGGCAUUCGUAUUGCGACGUUAGAGGUGAAAUUCUUGGAUCGUCGCAAAGCCAGCGAUCCGCCGAUGUUCCUCCGAUGACUCGGCGGGGAGCUUCUUCCCGGGAAACCAAAGCUUUUGGGUUCCGGGGGAAGUAUGGUUGCAAAGCUGAAACUUAAAGGAAUUGACGGAAGGGCACCACCAGGAGUGGAGCCUGCGGCUUAAUUUGACUCAACACGGGAAACCUCACCAGGCCAGGACAUUGGAAGGAUUGACAGAUUGAUAGCUCUUUCUUGAUUCAGUGGGUAGUGGUGCAUGACCGUUCUUAGUUGGUGGAUCGAUUUGUCUGGUUAAUUCCGAUAACGAACGAGACUCUAGCCUAUUAACUAGGCGUUUUCCGGUGUCCCCGCCACCGGCGACAAUCAUUCUUCUUAAGGGGACAGGCGGCUUUUAGCCGCACGAGAUUGAGCAAUAACAGGUCUGUGAUGCCCUUAGAUGUCCUGGGCCGCACGCGCGCUACACUGAAGGAAUCAGCGUGUGCCUCCCUGGCCGAAAGGCCCGGGUAAUCCGCUGAACCUCCUGCGUGCUAGGAAUUGGGGCUUGCAAUUGUUCCCCAUGAACGAGGAAUUCCCAGUAAGCGCGAGUCAUAAGCUCGCGUUGAUUACGUCCCUGCCCUUUGUACACACCGCCCGUCGCUACUACCGAUUGAAUGAUUUAGUGAGGUCUUCGGACUGGCGGUAAUCCCUACCGACUCGUCGGUAUCGAUGAACGCUGGGAAGAUGACCAAACUUGAUCAUUUAGAGGAAGUAAAAGUCGUAACAAGGUUUCCGUAGGUGAACU
rnacentral:rRNA from 1 species